CACAUGUUUAUUAUUUUAUAUGGUCGUAGAAGCGUGGUCGAACUCGUCACUUAACUGUUCACGACUUAUUUCAAAUUCCUGAAACUAAACUACAUAUAUAUAAUAUCCCAGUGUGUUGCUGUUAGUUGCAAGUAUUGACAAACAUGGAAACUACUGAUGACAUAGAUGGAAUCUUCUCAUCUUGUAUUUCAAAACCAUCUCCUUUACAUAUCAAGUAUGUAAAAUAUGAAGAGCGUCUAAAAUCAUUUCAUGCUUGGCCCCAAACUGGCAAACCUGAUAAAAAGGAUUUGGCUGAAGCUGGUUUCUUCUUUGAAGGCCCUGAGGACCGUACCAUAUGCUUUCAUUGUGAUGGAGGACUGAAUAAAUGGACUGCAAAUGAUAAUCCAAUGAUGGAACAUUUCAAAACUUACCCAAAUUGUGUAUUUAUAAAGAAGAAGUUAAAGAAAUGCUAAUCACUAAAAAGCCUGUGGUAUGAUGUAAAAUUAUCUCAAGAUAUCCACAUCUGUCUGUGACUUCAUAUAUAUUUUGCUGCUGCUGCUAAAAAUUGAAAAGAAACCAUAAAGCUAUUUUGCCAUAUUGAAACUAUAUAUAAUUAUUCCUACACAGACAGUUAAACGAACAUUUAACUUGGAAACAUCCAUAGUUACAAACUGACCUUUGCAAAGCCUUAACAGUUUGUGACACAUGUAACAUCAGAAAGAAAAAUUGCACAUUUUGAGUGGUUUGUUAUCAAGAGGAAGGGCUGUUUGAACUAUUUCAGAAAUGUUUCAUCAAUGUUUUUGUACUACCUAUAUAUCUAUUUGUACCACAUACAUGUUUAUUGUUACAGCAUUAUAAUAUCUAACAUAUUUUAAGUAAACUAUAUAUUAAACAGACAUUUGACUCACACUAAACACAA
rnacentral:lncRNA from 1 species